rfam:Salmonella enterica subsp. enterica serovar Macclesfield str. S-1643 chromosome, complete genome.
GUCACUUUUACGGUUGGCCAUUUGUCUCUUACGUUGCAUUUAUCAAUCUGCUUUUUGAUACAGCAGCACCUCGCUGCUGCUUUUUUAUUUG